GCUCCAGUGGCGCAAUCGGUUAGCGUGCGGUACUUAUACAGCAGUACAUGUGAAGCCAAAAAUUUAAAUAUUUACAAUAUAUUUUUGUGAAUCCAUUUAUUUCUGUAAAGCUGCUUUGUGACAAUGUCCAUUGUUAAAAGCGCUAUACAAAUAAAAUUGAAUUGAAUUGAAUGCCGAGGUUGUGAGUUCGAGCCUCACCUGGAGCA